AUUGAACGCUGGCGGCAGGCCUAACACAUGCAAGUCGAACGAGUGGCGGAAGGGUGAGUAAUGUCUGGGAAACUGCCUGAUGGAGGGGGAUAACUAAUGGAAACGGUAGCUAAUAACGCAUACCAUAGGAUGUGCCCAGAUGGGAUUAGCUAGUAGGUGGGGUGAAGUCUCACCUAGGCGACAAUCCCUAGCUGGUCUGAGAGGAUGACCAUCCACACUGGAACUUAGCCACGGUCCAGACUCCUACGGUAGGCAGCAGUGGGGAAUAUUGCACAAUGGGCGCAAGCCUGAUGCAGCCAUGCCGCGUGUAUGAAGAAGGCCUUCGGGUUGUAAAGUACUUUCAGCGGGGAGGCGUUACCCGCAGAAGAAGCACCGGCUAACUCCGUGCCAGCAGCCGCGGUAAUUC
rnacentral:rRNA from 1 species